rnacentral:rRNA from 1 species
UCAGAUUGAACGCGGGCGGCAUGCCUUACACAUGCAAGUCGAACGGCAGCACGGGGGCAACCCUGGUGGCGAGUGGCGAACGGGUGAGUAAUACAUCGGAACGUGUCCUGUAGUGGGGGAUAGCCCGGCGAAAGCCGGAUUAAUACCGCAUACGACCUAAGGGAGAAAGCGGGGGAUCUUCGGACCUCGCGCUAUAGGGGCGGCCGAUGGCAGAUUAGCUAGUUGGUGGGGUAAAGGCCUACCAAGGCGACGAUCUGUAGCUGGUCUGAGAGGACGACCAGCCACACUGGGACUGAGACACGGCCCAGACUCCUACGGGAGGCAGCAGUGGGGAAUUUUGGACAAUGGGGGAAACCCUGAUCCAGCAAUGCCGCGUGUGUGAAGAAGGCCUUCGGGUUGUAAAGCACUUUUGUCCGGAAAGAAAACCUUCGAGCUAAUACCUUGAGGGGAUGACGGUACCGGAAGAAUAAGCACCGGCUAACUACGUGCCAGCAGCCGCGGUAAUACGUAGGGUGCGAGCGUUAAUCGGAAUUACUGGGCGUAAAGCGUGCGCAGGCGGUUUGUUAAGACAGAUGUGAAAUCCCCGGGCUUAACCUGGGAACUGCAUUUGUGACUGGCAAGCUAGAGUAUGGCAGAGGGGGGUAGAAUUCCACGUGUAGCAGUGAAAUG